UACCCUAUUCUGACCCUUGACU
rnacentral:miRNA from 2 species